AUACAAGCUUAUCCUUUCCAAUUAAUAAGUAUUACAGCAUUUUAAUUGGAAAGGGUAAGCUGGUGU
rnacentral:miRNA from 1 species